CCGCGCCCUCCCCGUCGCCGUCGUCGGCCAUCCGGCUGCCCGCGCGCGGGGGGCUACGCGGCGGCCAUCGCGACACCCUUUAUGGUCGAGAAGGGAGUGAGGGGAGACGGGGUCGAGGUCAAUGGUGACGACGGCGACGUACGACAGUGGGUUUGGGAUGGGUUGGGGGUGGCGGGCGGGGCAAGGGGUGGCGCGGCGGAUCGUCGGAGAGAGGAUCCCGUGGUGGAGGACGGCGUGGAUAAGGUGAGCUCGAGG
rnacentral:lncRNA from 1 species